CAGUCGCCACGGUAAUGCGUAGGUGGCAAGCGUUGUCCGGAAUUAUUGGGCGUAAAGGGCUCGCAGGCGGUUUCCUAAGUCUGAUGUGAAAGCCCCCGGCUCAACCGGGGAGGGUCAUUGGAAACUGGGAAACUUGAGUGCAGAAGAGGAGAGUGGAAUUCCACGUGUAGCGGUGAAAUGCGUAGAGAUGUGGAGGAACACCAGUGGCGAAGGCGACUCUCUGGUCUGUAACUGACGCUGAGGAGCGAAAGCGUGGGGAGCGAACAGGAUUAGAUACCCCUGUAGUCCCUGUCUCUUAUAC
rnacentral:rRNA from 1 species